GGCGGCAGCUACACAUGCAGUCGAGCGGAUGCAAGGGAGCUUGCUCCUGGAUUCAGCGGCGGACGGGUGAGUAAUGCCUAGGAAUCUGCCUGGUAGUGGGGGAUAACGUCCGGAAACGGGCGCUAAUACCGCAUACGUCCUGAGGGAGAAAGUGGGGGAUCUUCGGACCUCACGCUAUCAGAUGAGCCUAGGUCGGAUUAGCUAGUUGGUGGGGUAAAGGCCUACCAAGGCGACGAUCCGUAACUGGUCUGAGAGGAUGAUCAGUCACACUGGAACUGAGACACGGUCCAGACUCCUACGGGAGGCAGCAGUGGGGAAUAUUGGACAAUGGGCGAAAGCCUGAUCCAGCCAUGCCGCGUGUGUGAAGAAGGUCUUCGGAUUGUAAAGCACUUUAAGUUGGGAGGAAGGGCAGUAAGUUAAUACCUUGCUGUUUUGACGUUACCAACACAAUAAGCACCGGCUAACUUCGUGCCAGCACCCGCGGUAAUACGAAGGGUGCAAGCGUUAAUCGGAAUUACUGGGCGUAAAGCGCGCGUACGUGGUUCAGCUAGUUGGAUGUGAAAUCCCCGGGCUCAACCUGGGAACUGCAUCCAAAACUACUGAGCUAGAGUACGGUAGAGGGUGGUGGAAUUUCCUGUGUAGCGGUGAAAAUGCAUAUAUAUAGGAAAGGAACACCAGUGGCGAAGGCGACCACCUGGACUGAUACUGACACUGAGGUGCAAAAGCGUGGGGGAGCAAACAGGAUUAGAUACCCUGGUAUCCCACCCCGUAAACAAUGCCUACUAGUCGUUGGG
rnacentral:rRNA from 1 species